AUUGAACGCUGGCGGCAUGCUUUACACAUGCAAGUCGAACGGCAGCGCGGGCAACCUGGCGGCGAGUGGGGGACGGGUGAGGAAUAUAUCGGAACGGUCCCCGAAGGGGGGGAUAACGUAGCGAAAGGUACGCUAAUUCCCCAUACGGACCACGGGUGAAAGGAGGGGGCCGCAAGGCCUUAUUCUUUUGGAGCGGCCGAUAUCUGAUUAGCUAGUUGGUGAGGUAAAGGCUCACCAAGGCGACGAUCAGUAGCUGGUCUGAGAGGACGACCAGCCACACUGGAACUGAGACACGGUCCAGACUCCUACGGGAGGCAGCAGUGGGGAAUUUUGGACAAUGGGCGCAAGCCUGAUCCAGCAAUGCCGCGUGAGUGAAGAAGGCCUUCGGGUUGUAAAGCUCUUUUGUCAGGGAAGAAACGGUAGAGGCUAAUAUCCUUUGCUAAUGACGGUACCUGAAGAAUAAGCACCGGCUAACUACGUG
rnacentral:rRNA from 1 species